UAUGGGGCAAGCGUUAUCCGGAUUUACUGGGUGUAAAGGGAGCGUAGGCGGUACGGCAAGUCAGAAGUGAAAUUCCGGGGCUCAACCCCGGACCUGCAUUUGAAACUGUUGGUCUUGAGUAUCGGAGAGGCAGGCGGAAUUCCUAGUGUAGCGGUGAAAUGCGUAGAUAUUAGGAGGAACACCAGUGGCGAAGGCGGCCUGCUGGACGACAACUGACGGUGAGGCGCGAAAGCGUGGGGAGCAAA
rnacentral:rRNA from 1 species